CACGCUAGUAGAGACCGGCUACAAGGAUGGGCAGCUGUUUUCGCAAAGUCAGCCAACCACUUGCUUCCAAAUGACCCUUAUCCAGAAGUAUCCGUGAGUGCCUCAUCAACAGAAACUAAAGUGGAGACCUACCUCUCAGAGAAAAACGCACACAUAAGAAAAGCCGACCCACUUCAGUACUGGGAAGAACAUCCUAAUCUGUUUCCCUCUAUGGCUGCUGUUGCGAUCCCAGUGUGCCCCCUGUAGCUCUGUGGACAGUUUUGGAUUUGUUUACAUCUCACCCAACCGCUCACGGCAGAUGGCUGCACCUCUCUAAGCCUGGUUCUGCCGGAGGUUUCUUCCUGUUAAAAGGGAGUUUUUCUGAACACACUCUACCACCAACAAGGACAGCUCACCAGUGGGAACUGAUAGAGAAGACUGCUGAUGCUCUCAUCCAUUGAAGAGCUGACCAGAAAUGUGAUCAGAGAGACUGCAACUGCACCUGAUGGGAUCCCUGCCAUAACAGAUGUGUUCUGUCCAGUGAAGGCAGUGGAGAAGCCCUACACUGAUCUUGAAACUGUGCCACGCUAGUAGAGACCGGCUACAAGGAUGGGCAGCUGUUUUCGCAAAGUCAGCCAACCACUUGCUUCCAAAUGACCCUUAUCCAGAAGUAUCCGUGAGUGCCUCAUCAAC